rnacentral:rRNA from 1 species
AACGAACGCAGGCGGCAGGCCUAAUACAUGCAAGUCGAACGCACCUUCGGGUGAGUGGCAGACGGGUGAGUAACGCGUGGGAACCUUCCUUGCAGUACGGAAUAACUCCGGGAAACCGGUGUUAAUACCGUAUACGCCCUUCGGGGGAAAGAUUUAUCGCUGCAAGAUGGGCCCGCGUUGGAUUAGCUUGUUGGUGAGGUAAAAGCACACCAAGGCGACGAUCCAUAGCUGGUCUGAGAGGAUGAUCAGCCACACUGGGACUGAGACACGGCCCAGACUCCUACGGGAGGCAGCAGUAGGGAAACUUGGACAAUGGGCGAAAGCCUGAUCCAGCCAUGCCGCGUGAGUGAAGAAGGCCUUAGGGUUGUAAAACUCUUUUAGCGGGGAGGAUGAUGACGGUACCCGCAGAAUAAGCCCCGGCUAACUUCGUGCCAGCAGCCGCGGUAAUACGAAGGGGGCUAGCGUUGUUCGGAAUUACUGGGCGUAAAGCGCACGCAGGCGGACUGAUUAGUCAGGGGUGAAAUCCCGGGGCUCAACCCCGGAACUGCC